GGUUUGUUUGAAACAGACCGCAAUGGAGAGAUCAGCGCCCAGGGAAGCGAGGGAACAGCAGGCUCCUUCCAGCAGCACAUCGGGAUGGGAGCCUGGGACACAGAGGGGGCUCCGAGACCGGGAUUGAUUCGGGGCAAAUAUUUGAUGGAUCAAUCCAAGAGUGACCAGCUGCUUCUCACAACCAGCAGACAAAUUACUUGAAGGACCAAGACAGUGUGAUAUGUCCUCAGUAUGAAGCAAAGUGUGAUCAGUUCCUUCUAACAAACAGCAGGACAAUUUACCAUGGCUAAUCCAGCAAACCUGCACAUAUUUGGACCAUGCAAAAAAAACUUGAGCACUCAGAGGAAGCCCAUGCAGACACGGGCAGAACAUGCAAACUGCACGCAGGUAAUGAACCAAGGCAGGAAUUGAAUCUGC